AUUGAACGCUGGCGGCAGGCCUAACACAUGCAAGUCGAGCGGGGUUUUCGGACCUAGCGGCGGACGGGUGAGUAAUGCGUAGGAAGCUACCCGAUAGAGGGGGAUACCAGUUGGAAACGACUGUUAAUACCGCAUAAUGUCUACGGACCAAAGUGUGGGACCUUCGGGCCACAUGCUAUCGGAUGCGCCUACGUGGGAUUAGCUAGUUGGUGAAGUAAUGGCUCACCAAGGCGACGAUCCCUAGCUGGUUUGAGAGGAUGAUCAGCCACACUGGAACUGAGACACGGUCCAGACCCCUACGGGAGGCAGCAGUGGGGAAUAUUGGACAAUGGGCGCAAGCCUGAUCCAGCCAUGCCGCGUGUGUGAAGAAGGCCUUCGGGUUGUAAAGCACUUUCAGUAGGGAGGAAGCGUUGUGUGUUAAUAGUACACAGCGUUGACGUUACCUACAGAAGAAGCACCGGCUAACUCUGUGCCAGCCGCCGCAGUAACAC
rnacentral:rRNA from 1 species